UGAAACUAUAAUGUUCUUGUCUCAGGUAUGAAGGCCUUUCUGAAAAGUUUUUGUCAUCUCCUGUGCCAAAGAUAUUGCUUUUAGCUGGGACAGACAGACUUGACAGAACACUCACAAUAGGUCAAAUGCAAGGGAAGUUCCAAAUGGUGGUCGUCAGACACACAGGCCAUGCUAUACAGGAAGAUGUGCCUGAUGAAUUUGUCACUUUGGUACUCAAUUUCAUUUCCCAUAACCGAAUAGGCCCACAUGGAAUUGAGAUUCCUGGACUUCGUCGACCCCCUCAGUCAAAACCUUGAAUACUGGACUGAUGCAAAAUAAUAAUUGAAUAGCUUGGUUCAGUAACUUUUAGUAUCACGAAUCAAAGCUUUGGAGAUGUUUUUAUGGAGAUUGUACAUAAAGGUGUCAACUGUAAUAAAUGUUCUAUUCCGUAAACAAGAACAUUUAAAAUAGUUUUGCGUUUGGUUUCUUAUUAAUGCAAG